rnacentral:rRNA from 1 species
CCUACGGGAGGCUGCAGUGGGGAAUAUUGCACAAUGGGCGCAAGCCUGAUGCAGCCAUGCCGCGUGUGUGAAGAAGGCCUUCGGGUUGUAAAGCACUUUCAGCGGGGAGGAAGGCGUUAAGGUUAAUAACCUUGGCGAUUGACGUUACCCGCAGAAGAAGCACCGGCUAACUCCGUGCCAGCAGCCGCGGUAAUACGGAGGGUGCAAGCGUUAAUCGGAAUUACUGGGCGUAAAGCGCACGCAGGCGGUCUGUCAAGUCGGAUGUGAAAUCCCCGGGCUCAACCUGGGAACUGCAUUCGAAACUGGCAGGCUAGAGUCUUGUAGAGGGGGGUAGAAUUCCAGGUGUAGCGGUGAAAUGCGUAGAGAUCUGGAGGAAUACCGGUGGCGAAGGCGGCCCCCUGGACAAAGACUGACGCUCAGGUGCGAAAGCGUGGGGAGCAAACAGGAUUAAUACCCUGGUAGUC